rnacentral:lncRNA from 1 species
UGGCCGGCCGGAGAGCGCCGAAGGCAGCUCUCCUCAUGGGCUGGAAAGAGAAAUUCCGGAGGGAAGUCUUUUAAAAGGCCCAACUCCUCCGGACGGCUACUACUGAGCAACAUGGAGCCAGCUUGGAAAGCACCCCCGGCCACCUGAGUUAUGGGACUAUGGAGCCAGUCUCUUCGCCAGUCUGAGCCUCCAGUGCCUCUUGGACAAAGCGGGCGCAACCCUGUAAUAUAUCACGGGGCUCCUGUGAGCUGUGCAUUAUGUUUGGGUGCAUGCAUAUAAUAAGUAGGUAGGAUGAGAUUGCAAAAGUGAAACAACUGGGAUAGAAGCAGUUCCCAUUUUCUUAAAGUAGGAUCACAGUGUUGAAUCUGGAGAGACC